GAAGAAACUUUCAAAGUUCUUGAAAUUUUCCGUAUUGCCUGACCUUCAUGUCUUAAAUUAAUGAUGGACUGUUUUUCUGAAAUGUAUUCCAGGUGACUACCUCAUGAAGCUGGUUGAGAGAAUGCCAACAGUGUGCAAAGCUAUCAUGAAGGCAAAGGGUGGCUACUUUGAAGAAUCUCAAAUCUCAAAUAUAUUUUGAAAUAUAUAUAUUUUUAAAUGUAACACUUUUUUGGUUACUAUAUGUGUUACAUCAUAGUUUUGAUGUCUUCACUAUUAUUCUACAAUGUAGAAAAUAGUAAAAAUAAAGAAAAACCCCUGAAUGAGUAGGUGUGUCCAAACUUUUGACUGGUACUGUAUAUAGAGCCAACUUUAAACAUCGACUCUUAGGGUUUAUUUAUUUUUCAUAGUCCUCACUAGCUGAUGACCAGAGUCUGUUCUCUGCAGGUAAAGGUGGCACAAGGCUAGCAGCUCAUUGGCACAGUGGAAGCUAAACCAGAGAACUCUCAUGCUCCUGUCAUGAAAUGUUCCAAUUUCCAGAUGACCAAACCUACACUUUUGCUGAUGGUGGUGAAAGGGAAGACUUGUCCCGGGAGCCGCGUAUGCAUUGAGGCACUGCUAACCAUCCUACCUCGCAGAGACCUGCACCCUCGCCUGGUGUCGAAUCCCUCAAUGUCUUUGUGGCAUCCUGCUACACUUACUCCUGUCGUCCUGUAGAGAUGGCCAUCGAUGACCGACUAGACUACACAACUCAAGGUGUUUACUUUGGAUGCCCUCCCAGGCACUCCUCCCAGGGCUUAAUGACUGGAUUUACUGCAUCAAUUAGCCAUCAGGGUCUCUGAGAGGCCUGGCUGGCUGAUCGAUUGUUCUGUAGCAGCUGAUGUCCCCUCGCCGUGCUGUUCUGCACUGCUCUGGACCAUGCUAACUGCAUGUCUGAAUGUAAACCUAGUACAAUGUAAUUAAAUUAAAUAAAACAUUUUCUACUCAAGGUUAUUAUUGGAUUCUUUCUAAUGUUUAUUCACUUGAGAUGUUAAGACUUUUGCAUAUGU
rnacentral:lncRNA from 8 species